rnacentral:rRNA from 1 species
AUCUGGGCGGCGGAAUUCAGGAUGGCUGGCGCGUCUUCGCGGCGCGUCGGUCGUUUGAUAUUUCCGUCGCCGAUCACCCGCAGACGUCGCGACCUGUUCGCGGUCGGUCCCUGCUCGGAGGAGCCGCGUUCGAGUUCGUUGCGUGCGCGUUUCGGCGUGUCACGCGGCGAAGACGCGGAUCUCUGGCUGGCCGUCGGACAGUAUGCUCAACGGUGUCCGGUGUCGCCGCGCGCGUUCACCGGUACCGGUCAGCGACGAAUUCUUCGGGCCUCUUUCCGACCCGUCUUGAAACACGGACCAAGGAGUCUAACAUGCGCGCGAGUCGCGGGGUGUCGAGCGUACUUCGGUACGUUCGUUACGUUGCGAAACCCGUACAUGUCGAAGGCGUAAUGAAAGUGAAUGGGGAAGAUGGUGUUCCGAGUACACGUUCCGCGAUCGUCGGUAUCGCGGCCGGACACCCGCAUUCCCGGGGCGUCUCAACGGCCCGUCGCUGAUGCGGACAGUCGUCUCUCGGGGCGGCUGUCGGUCGGCGAUGAACCGA